rnacentral:lncRNA from 1 species
GCCAAAACCAAAAAUUUUCGCGAACUGAACAAGGCCUGAACAAUGCCCUAGGCGAUAUCCAUUCCGUUAAUUAGGGCACUCACAAUGCAGACUCUAUCAUAGAGUUUAAAGUUAUUUAUUACCUCUGUCACACCCCAAAAUUUUUGAUUUUGGGCUGUGCGUAGAAAACAUUAACAAAAAUAUAUAUUUUGAUAUUUGGAUAAAAUUUACCAAGUUUAGUUUGGAGUCACUGCAAAUUUAGUUAUAGGAGAAUGUUAAUUUUCAAAUUUGUUUUGAAUUAACUUGAUGAGCUUUUGUUGAUGUGAGGUGAUGCUUGCUUGUCGCUUGACUUUGUGUUGUGAGCGGGUGCAGUUUUAAUAAGCGCGUUUAGUAAGUCGUUGAUCUCUAUCCGGCGUGUCUCCAGUUUUUUUUUUUUCUAUAUAAUCAAGUCUUCUCUUUCUUGAUCAUUAAUCUUUUUAUUUAGAGUUUCCAUAUCCCUUUAUUCUAUUUUAAAUUAUUCCUUUGGGUACACCUUCCAUGAACCGACCUAUUAAAACGUAUGAAGAAUUAUUUUCAGCAUUUUUCCUGGAAUUUAUUUCCACUUGACUCUGAGCAUAAUCUAAUUUCUAGAUGCUCCUAGAUAUCUUUUCAUGAGCUCUAAAUACUUUAUUUGGAUUCAUCUUCCAAUUCACCCAUGAGUUUGUCAUGCUUUUGUUAAAGCUCCCUUUUACUUUGUGUAAAAUUCUUGCUAAUUUGGGCUCAAACCCACCAUCCGACCGCAGCUCAAUUUGUCCGACGUCUUAUCGUAGGGAGACCAGGAAGCCAACUCCUUUUUGAUCUUAAAACGGCCCAUAUCUUCUAGCAUAUAUAUAUAUAUAUCUUGCAACAGAACAGGCUCUUGCUUUUGCCCUAGAUCGUAUCUGCCGCCGCCGGUGCCGACUAAUCUCCCCUAGAGCCAUGCCGUCCUGCUCCAUCCUGGCCACCGCAGUCGUCAUCGGGUACAGUAUUUUUCGGCUGUUGGACGAAUUCAUCUGCUCGUCGAUUUCCUCCGUUUCAUCAAUCGGCGCACUGCAGAAGCUGUUGUCCUCUGUGUUGAUCGGUGGUACUGUGCAGAGGUGGAAGUCCAUGCUGCUGUUACCGAUUACCGCUGCCCGGCGCUGCGUUCUCUGGCUUUCACUCUCACCGACACACAUGGAUCAAGGUAAUUAGGACUGUGGUUUGUGGGUGAAUUUCAGAAUUUUCAGUGCACGUGGAUCGAGUGAGAAAUCAACAUUUAUGUAUUACUUUUGUUAAUUGGUGGUAAAAGAAAUCAGAUUUAGAAUUUCUUUUUGCUCCAUGAAUACGUGAUGUCGUGGAUAAGUUUUGUCACCGUUUUCCUUUAGAAAAACAAAUCUAGAAAUAUAGAGAAAAUACAUUAGCUUGUUUUAGCUAUAAAAUACUCAUUUUAACUCUGAGUUUGUUUGUUCAAGUUGCAUUAGACUCAUAUCAAUGUAAUCUACGCGUUAGUGCUAGUGUUUUUCAUGUCACAUGUUUUCUAUAUAUUUCUAAAUAUUUAAUUGCUCAAUAUCCUUAUAGUUAGUUUUAUAAUUAAAAUAAUAUGGGUUUGUCUAUCCUUUGUAAUUAUGUGAGCAUGAAUUUAAUUAAUAGCAACUUGAAUAUGUUUUAAUUAUAUUUUGCUUAGACAAUCACGAUAUAUACCAUAAACUUAUUUUAGUGCUCACAUGUUACGUAAUUUUAUAAGUUAAAGUUUAACUGGCAUAAACGAUAUAAAAUUAUGUAUGAAUAACAUAUGAUCAUCUCCAACACGUAUCAUGUAUAAUUUGAAUAGAUGUUCUCACAUAUUCUUUAAAAAGUUAAAGUUUACUUUGAUUAAAAUGAUGCUUGCAUGCCUAUAUUUAAAAUAUGAUUAUCGAUUAUAUAAUAGAUAUAUUCAUAAAUAAAAUAUAAUAAGUUCUACUUUGUUUUUAAAAUUAAAAUAUAAUUUGACUAAUUUGAAUUAGUAGGUUACGCAUGAUUGUUCUUAAAUAAAACAUAUUAAGAUCAUUGUUGUCUCUUUUAAAUUAUCCAAAACUACAGGUAGUCAUUUCUUUAUUACGAUAGUUUUGCUUUCGGCGUUUCUCAUAACCUUAGCAUCGACCCGUAACGUUUAGUGCGCUCUCUUUUAAGGCUUUCUUUUUUUGAUUGGUGUGUUGUUCUUAGUUUCUUUUAUUUGUUGCUUUGUAUGUUUGCCUAUGCGUGGUGCUUCAUGCGAGUAGACGAGAACUGUUUGUGGGCAUUGAAGAUCAGAAGAUGAUGACAGAAAGCUGAUGAUGUGAGGAUUAAGCAAGUGUUUAAGGCAAGUAUAACUUGGGAUCAUCCUUGUUACCUAUUCACUUAUAACUACACAUAUAUGUCAUAUGCAUGCUAUCACCUUGUCGACCUUAGCAAAAUCAUAGAUGAUUGUUACCUGGAUUCCUUGCUACCUACUUGAUAUGCAUUUGGUGUAGAUGUGCUAGUGCUUGAUAUAAUCCAUGAUCUUGUAAGAUGAUUAAUAGCUAUGCAAUGAACGUUAAAAGAUGACAAAUAACUAUAUGAGAUCUUGUCUGUAAGUGAUCACCGGGACAACAGUGCAACCACGAGGGCUAUAAUGGCUCUGGCUUUAGCUCAGUAUGAAGACCUUUUCUAGCUUGUUAGAGGUUACCCGAAAGGGCGGAGGGGCUGAACCGACACGGGUAUAGUGCGAGCCCCUGUCCCUAUGUGUAUAGGCUGCGCGUCAUUGUGCCAUUCGGAAGGGGGGUAUCUAUAUCUGCUCGCAAAGGAAACCUUGCGGCCCUAACAUGUUAGACGAACUUUUGAAAGGCUUCAUAGUGAUCCCUGCCGACCUUCCUUGGGAGUGGGUUAAGAGGCUGAUCACCUCGGGCGAAAGGGUAAAUCAUGACUCAUGGGUAAAGAUGUACAACCUCUGCAGAGUGUUAAAACUAGUAUACUAGCCGUGCUCACGGUUAAGAGCGGCCUUGGGGGUUCUUGCUGCGACGACGAUGAGCUUGUUAAGUUGUUAUGUUCAUUUGAUUAUCGUUUAUGCUAAGAAUUAAUUAUGCUUACACUUGAUCAUGUGAUUAAUGGAUUAUUACUGCUACCUUGACAAUUGCUAUUAAAUUAUGAACAUGCUCUCCACUAUUAAAAGCUAAAUGCAGUUAAACCAGUGUCAGCCAUUUGAGCCUCAUGAACCCCUGGUUAUACUUGUUGAGUACGAUAUGUGCUCACUCUUGCUAUUUCCCACCACUCCAGUAUACUACUAAGAGUUAUCAGAGGAGCGAAGGAGUUACGAAGGACGUUAUCAGGAUACAAGAAGUGCUAGGCAUAUGUUACCCCAGUCAGCCGUCCCUGUGAAGAUUGAGCCUGAAGAUUAGUUAUUGUGUUACGAUUCUCUGAUGUAAGUGUUAAUUAUAAGUAUGUUUCCGCUAUAUAACAUUGUUUUUGAUAUUAUUGCUUCUGUUGUUAUAUGUGUGGACUUCCUGGGCACACAUAUGGCUAGCCUGGUUUUGUUCUUUAAAAUCGGGUGUGACAGAGAUGGAUUAUUACUGCUACCUUGACAAUUGCUAUUAAAUUAUGAACAUGCUCUCCACUAUUAAAAGCUAAAUGCAGUUAAACCAGUGUCAGCCAUUUGAGCCUCAUGAACCCCUGGUUAUACUUGUUGAGUACGAUAUGUGCUCACUCUUGCUAUUUCCCACCACUCCAGUAUACUACUAAGAGUUAUCAGAGGAGCGAAGGAGUUACGAAGGACGUUAUCAGGAUACAAGAAGUGCUAGGCAUAUGUUACCCCAGUCAGCCGUCCCUGUGAAGAUUGAGCCUGAAGAUUAGUUAUUGUGUUACGAUUCUCUGAUGUAAGUGUUAAUUAUAAGUAUGUUUCCGCUAUAUAACAUUGUUUUUGAUAUUAUUGCUUCUGUUGUUAUAUGUGUGGACUUCCUGGGCACACAUAUGGCUAGCCUGGUUUUGUUCUUUAAAAUCGGGUGUGACAGAGUGGUAUCAAAGCAGUGUUGACUGUAGGACGUAUGCCUAGAUAGAACUGGUCGAUUAGAAAAGUCUAAUUUGCUAUAAAACUAUUUUAUUAUCCCUUGACUCUUUAAUUUUGAUUAUUUCUCAAUCCUUGUCCCGUUGUAUUCUCUCCUUGAUAGCUUCCUUUGAGCUAUUAUUGCUUACUCCCUUGGUUUUUGUUCUAUGUAAUUUUACUAAAAGUUUUUUUUUUCCUACCUCAUUCAAAAGUUCGAUAGUCUUUUAUCAUCUCUCAUCUGCCCUUUAGGAUGACCACCAUAUUGAGGAAACACGUAUAGAAUCGAUGAUGUGUUGUGUGCUUGUCUUGUUUGGCGUAUUGCUUGUGUGUCGUCUCUAUUCUUGUGUUUUGAAGGAGGCCCAAAAGUUAUCGUCUUGAGAAGUAGCUCAAUCUUGUUAAGUGGGGUAGCGUCUGCUACCAUCAUCUAUCUUAAGUUUCAAGACCUAUCGACCUAAUGAUCAAUCUUAUCUUUCUUGUAUAUCUCUUUCUUGUAUAUUAAACUUUAUCUUUUCUAUCAUCAAUCGUCAUCUUCUUCUGCUCUUUUGUUAGUCUUUGCCCCUUGAUUGUUUACCUUAUAAUAUAAUGAUCUAAAGGUCAACUUCAUCCUCUUAGUCUACUUUUCUUGUCAUCAAUCUAUGUAUUUCUUGUGAUCGAUUAUUAUUUUUCAACUUAACCUUUAUCCGUCUACAGUUAUUUUAUCAACUCUCAUUAUAGAGCUCGAAAUAACAUUGAAGAACUUACCAAUCCUUGCUAAUUUUAAUCUUUUAUCAUAAAUGUCAUAAUCUUGAAUCAAGGAAUUCUAAGCACUAUAAGAUGUAUCUUUAUCAUUUAUAUUAUCUCUUGCUGAUCUUCACUCCUUGACUUUAGACCUCAUAAUCUGAAGAUCUGUGAUCAACCUUUAUCUAUUUUUUUAACCUUCCUUGAUCUUUCUUUUCUACCUAUGCUGAUCUUCAAUCCUUUGAUCUCAUUUCAUAAAUCCCAAAUGAAUCUUGAGAACAAAUCCUUGACAUUUUUGUCAACCUUUGUUAAUCCUUAAUCUCUAAAUCAUAUCCCGUCAAAAGUAUCAAAACAAUCUUGAAGAUCUGCUUUAUCGUUCUCUCUAGUCUCUCCGAAUCUCGGGACGAGAUUCCUGUUAAGUGGGGUAGAUUGUCACACCCCAAAAUUUUUGAUUUUGGGCUGUGCGUAGAAAACAUUAACAAAAAUAUAUAUUUUGAUAUUUGGAUAAAAUUUACCAAGUUUAGUUUGGAGUCACUGCAAAUUUAGUUAUAGGAGAAUGUUAAUUUUCAAAUUUGUUUUGAAUUAACUUGAUGAGCUUUUGUUGAUGUGAGGUGAUGCUUGCUUGUCGCUUGACUUUGUGUUGUGAGCGGGUGCAGUUUUAAUAAGCGCGUUUAGUAAGUCGUUGAUCUCUAUCCGGCGUGUCUCCAGUUUUUUUUUUUUUCUAUAUAAUCAAGUCUUCUCUUUCUUGAUCAUUAAUCUUUUUAUUUAGAGUUUCCAUAUCCCUUUAUUCUAUUUUAAAUUAUUCCUUUGGGUACACCUUCCAUGAACCGACCUAUUAAAACGUAUGAAGAAUUAUUUUCAGCAUUUUUCCUGGAAUUUAUUUCCACUUGACUCUGAGCAUAAUCUAAUUUCUAGAUGCUCCUAGAUAUCUUUUCAUGAGCUCUAAAUACUUUAUUUGGAUUCAUCUUCCAAUUCACCCAUGAGUUUGUCAUGCUUUUGUUAAAGCUCCCUUUUACUUUGUGUAAAAUUCUUGCUAAUUUGGGCUCAAACCCACCAUCCGACCGCAGCUCAAUUUGUCCGACGUCUUAUCGUAGGGAGACCAGGAAGCCAACUCCUUUUUGAUCUUAAAACGGCCCAUAUCUUCUAGCAUAUAUAUAUAUAUAUCUUGCAACAGA